UGGGGAAUUUUGCACAAUGGGGGAAACCCUGAUGCAGCGACGCCGCGUGAUUUAGAAGGCCUUCGGGUUGUAAAAAUCUUUUUUACGGGAUGAAAAUGACAGUACCGUAAGAAUAAGGUCCGGCUAAAUACGUGCCAGCAGCCGCGGUAAUACGUAUGGACCGAGCGUUGUCCGGAAUCAUUGGGCGUAAAGGGUACGUAGGCGGCCUAGUAAGUUAGAAGUGAAAUAAUAUAGCUCAACUAUAUAAAGCUUUUAAAACUGCUAGGCUUGAGGGAUGGAAGGGAAAGUGGAAUUCCUAGUGUAGCGGUGAAAUGCGCAGAUAUUAGGAAGAAUACCGGUGGCGAAGGCGACUUUCUGGUCAUCAUCUGACGCUGAGGUACGAAAGCGUGGGUAGCAAACAGG
rnacentral:rRNA from 1 species